GAAUCUGUGCAGCAGAGGUCCCGCCCCGGAGGCCUCGUGCCGAUGCCCUCUGGGUGGCUGUGGGUGAGUUGUUCUAUUUUUCUUGGCCUCCGUUUCCACAUCUCUAAAAUGGGCAUGGGGUCUGGAGAGUGCUAGCACAGUGCUGGGUCUGGAGCUGUCGCUCAGCUGGCUGGGAUGUCUUCUUCUUCUUCUUCUUCUUGAUUCAUUUUUAUUUGUCAUUAAUGACAUCUUCUCCUAGCAAAGAAAGAUACCAGCACUAAGAGCUCUCAAGCUUUUGGUCAUCUGAUCAGAGACGGAUUCGGAGGACAGAGCCGGCCCGUCCCCUGGACUUUGCACGGAGCCGCAGGCAGGGUGUUACGAGAGGGCACAGAGCCAGUGACACUUGGGUUAUGGCAACUGCCCCGAUGUCAUCGUCACCCACAGGAAGUGCCAUCAAGGCCCCCGGGGGAGCCGUGUGUCCCUGCCGCCUGAUUCUCGGAAUGGUAACCCGCAGCUCGAGGAGUGCCCGGGCUCUGACCUCCUCCUGCUCCUCGCUCACUCCAGAGGGACCCGGAGGGGACGGAAGUGGAGAAGGGGAGGUGACUGAAAGGCAGAGAAGGACCCCCACAAACAGUAAGCCCGUUGCCUGACACCUGGCGAGUGCUUUCAUGGGAAGCCUUUCCUUUCUUCGUCUCAUGAGCAACACGAGGCACAGGACUGGGAACCAAGGCCGUGAGCAGUCCAAGGCUGCCCGCUUAAACCAAGGAGGCAGAGGGGCCUGAGGCUUGCCUCUGAUUCUGAGUCCCUGGGUCCUGCCAUGAGUGACAGGAGGCCUGUGCCACAGGAGACGGCAGGAGAGGGAGCGGGUCUGUGACCUAGAGGGUGGUGGGGACUGGUAGCAGCCAGCUCGACGGGUCUCAGAUCCCUGCGCUCCAAACGGGGCAAGACAACCAAGGUCAAAGGAAGGUGAGCCCUUAACAUCAGGAUAUAGUUUUCUGGGAUGGGACUCUCCCAGGCAUAGAGGCCAAAGGAUCUGCUUUUGGCCCGGGAUCUGCUUCGGGACCAUCUGGACCCAUCAUCUCCAGGCCACCAGGGCUCUGCAGGGACUGCAUGAGAAGCAGACAUAACAACCACCAACACAAUAAUCACGAUGAUGAUGAUGAUGGUGAUGAAGAACACAGUAAUGAAGAAGUGGGUUGUUCCCCCGGCUCAGAGGGAACAUUCUUGUAUAGUCCCACUUGGCUAGGAGUAUAUUGGGGGAUUUCUUGCCAUGCCACCGCAUUCCCUCUAAGUGCUGAGGACAGAGGCUUGGUCCUGAUUCAGUGAGAGAGGGCGUGGCCAGAGAGGGUGGGGAGAACGGGGUCUGAGUGAAUUCACAGGGUACAGCUGGUGCUUUGCUCACGCAACUUGGCCAGUGGGAGUCACCUGGGUGCUAAGGAAGGUGUCCUUACGGAGGGGCUGAGAAGGACCUCUGGGGGGCACGUCCCUGCUCUGGACUCCUGCAGAUCCCCUGGGAUCCACUCCCUGGAGCUCGCAGGUUGGCAACUGAACGUGGGUGCUCAGGCAGAAACUGAGGGUCCCCCGACACCUGACUCUGUUUCUGUCUGGUGGUUCCUCUUCCGGUUACCUCCUCGUCUUGGAAUCUUUGGCCUAAUUUGGGAAAUGGUGGAGGGGGAGCAGGAUCAUGUGUCCUUCCAGAUGUGUUGGGUCUUAGACUGGGACCCAGAUCUUUGCACUGGGUAUUUGAUCAUCUUUGCUUUCUGAUUCCUCUGUGUCUGGGCUCUUGGCAGGUUGGGGAGGGCUCUGCUCAUUUGUUACUUUCCUCCACCAUAAAAGCUCUCAUUGGUUGAGUUGUACAGGUAUCACGUAAUACAGGCUCCGCUUCCUUCCUUGGGGAGGGGGCGGCGAGAACCCUCUCUGAAGGGACAGAAACAGCACUUCCUGCUCUCGGGGUUGAGGUGAGGAGGGAGAGACAAGGCCUAGUAUCAUUUGCUUGUCUCCUCGAGACAGGGCCACGGAGAGAGCUCAGUGCCCAGGAGGGCCAGCCAGGUAGAGAUGGGCUCUGAGAGGUAGAGUCGGGGGCUCUGAGAGGCUCAGCAUAUAGUAGACCUUAGUUCUUUUCCCCCCUUCCUCCUUUUUCUUAGUGAAAAUUGCUGUCACUUACUGUUGGCUUAUGUACUAUGUCUGUGCUAAGUACUAACCAUGCUUUUUCUCAUUUAGCCUAUACGACCAUUCCAUGAGGGGUGGUUUUCAUGACUAUGCAUUUUAGAUGAGGAAACUGAGGCUCAAGGAUGUGAAGUUGCUUGUUCAAGGUUACACAGCUCGUAGGUGGUAGAGCUGGGACUCACACACAAAAUAUUUAAGUCUGUGAAUGGAUGGAUGGAAGGAUUGAGGGUGGUGGGCAGGUAGAUGUAUAGAUGGAUGGAGUAGUUGAUGAAUCGGUAGGUGGGUAGAAAUGUGUUCACAGGAAUGGGGAUAGAUGUGUGGAUGGAUGCGUGGAUGGAUGGAUGGAUGGGGGAAUGGAUGGAUGGGUAGGUAGAUGGAUACAUGAAUGGAUGGAUGGAUGAGUGGGUAAUCUACCUGUUCCUUCCCCCUCAAUGUGGGCUUCGUUCCUACCCGGUCUCUUCCCUCUCUCUUAUCCAAGUUAUCCUACUCCUUGUUGGACCUGGAGUCUACCCUGAACCCCAGUAUAUUCACUCCUAGGCGAUGGACUUUACCUCUGUCUCCCAAUGAUAGACAUUUAUAUUUCAACCCAGGGCCUCUACCUACCUCUUACCUGGCUUAGACCCAAAACUUCUUCCCAGGCUGUGGCUGUGGGCUAGACCAGGAGCCCACUGGGUCCUGGCCUCCUCUCCAUUCUAUAGGGAUUUCUGGGACACUGGAUUGGCACUUUGUCAGCUGACGGAAUAGGAGGGUGGAUAUUUUAGGAGGUCUGCUCAACCCACAUAGCUUUCUUUGGAAUUCUGGGUGUUCUCAACCCUCCUAAAGCAAAGAGCCUGGGUACCAUGAUUAUAUUAUGAGACCCUUCACUCCUUCUGGCCACAGUUGAUUGGGCCACAGGCGACCAACGAACCAGAGCUAGUCUAAUAAUAGUCAUUCUCCAGGGAAUUAGAAGGGGGACACCGAGAUACUGAGUCAACGGUGGUGGACAUUCGGACUGAAUGUAUGGUUGGGUCUGAGCUGUGUCAGGUUCUAAGGCAAGUAGUAAAGGAGAUAAUAAUAUAUGUCAAGAGCUUAGCAUAGCACCUGCCACGUAGGAAGUUCUCAAUAAAUAUUAGGACUUAUGAUUGCGAUGGGGAGCAUGGAGGGUUCUGGAUGCAAAUCAGUCUCUACCAAGUCGAUUUGCAUGAGCUAUGGAAGGCAGAAGAGAGGUGGAGGCCACCUUCCUGCCCCCUUAUGGACUGUCUCUGUCGUGGAAACGUGAGAGUUUUCCACACUAUUGCUUCCCAGGUGACGAGAAGCAUCGUGAUGGGGCCAGGGGUGACAGCAGCUUCCUGACCCUGGAUUACAGGCUUUCUGAGCCCUGGAUUACAGCUCGGGGCGUGACCUUGCAGCUCUAGUCCCAGAGUCUCCCUGGAUAGGUCUGUUGUGUGUUGCUCUGGGAGCCACGGGGGGGGGGGGGGGCAGCUGGCCCUUACUCCCUCAUCGCUUCCACUGGUUUUGUACACAUCUGUGUUCAAUCCCCUCCUGCUUAACAUGUCCUGUCCUGAGCCCUGGUUAUAUGUACGGUUUCCAUCUCCUGAGA